UGGCAAAACAUAGAUUUUUUAAUUUUAUUUUUUAAUUUAUGCUUACUUUAAACUUAUGGAAAUAACUAAUGGACAAAUUAGGCAUUUAUUGGGUGUAAAGGUGGCACCUUUCAGUGAUAUCCUGUGCAAGCCUAGGGAGCGAUAACCUAGAACUGUGGCAAGUUCAUAUAGACGGUCUCUUAGUUAUGCAUCUUCUGACUGAAACUGAAGGAUCUGAAGAGAGAAUUAAGGAAUAGGAACUUAUUUGUUAUUCCCUUCUCUUCUGACAAGUUUCUCGACAUGAAAAGACUUAAAGGCAAGCUGCGGUUUUCCCUAUUCUUGGGACCCAAGCCUUUUGUGAAAUGGUGCAAGGAAGAUGUGUAUUCAAAUCUUGGCCCAGUGAAUUGGGUAUUGUCAGGAAAUAACAGAAAGUUUUGAGGAUUUAAACAUCCUGGACCCUAUCCUGCUGCUGUGAACGUAAAGGAAGAGCUUUUUCUUGCCAGAGGCUGAAAAUAAGGCUGCAAAAGGAAAUCAGCUGGGGAGCAUGUACCUGCUUCAAGAGCAAACUAGAAACUUACUGAGUUACGGUGCUGAAUGGAGGCAGCCCAUGCUCCGUCUUCCUCUGCCAGGAGUGGACAAAAAUGCUCAAGUUGUCUUCAUAAACAGAAAGUCCAAACCCUAACAAUAUCCCUUUUUAUUUCUUAAUUCUCGCUUAACAUGCCAGUCAAAAGCUAAGCGAAGCCUAUAUGCAGCUCAGUGAUUGGGCAAAGCCUGAUCUGUAAAAGCAAACUGCUUGCCAAAGCUGUGGAAAAUAAAAACAAGGGAGAGUUUACACAGUAGAAAAGUGAAAACUAAUGAAACCUGGAGAUUUGCUUCAACAGUUUUUCAUUGUGCUGUUGGCAGAUGGUUCCUCUUCUUCAGGAACCGGGGCAGGAGCAGUGCAUUUGUCCCACAGGCAGAACGGCUGGGGGGCACCGUGGAAACUUGACACACACUGAGCUGCUUUCUCCAAGCUGGAACACAGAGUGAAG
ensembl:lncRNA